rnacentral:rRNA from 1 species
UGGGGAAUUUUGGACAAUGGGCGAAAGCCUGAUCCAGCAAUGCCGCGUGUGUGAAGAAGGCCUUCGGGUUGUAAAGCACUUUUGUCCGGAAAGAAAUCCUUGGCUCUAAUACAGUCGGGGGAUGACAGUACCGGAAGAAUAAGCACCGGCUAACUACGUGCCAGCAGCCGCGGUAAUACGUAGGGUGCAAGCGUUAAUCGGAAUUACUGGGCGUAAAGCGUGCGCAGGCGGUUUGCUAAGACCGAUGUGAAAUCCCCGGGCUCAACCUGGGAACUGCAUUGGUGACUGGCAGGCUAGAGUAUGGCAGAGGGGGGUAGAAUUCCACGUGUAGCAGUGAAAUGCGUAGAGAUGUGGAGGAAUACCGAUGGCGAAGGCAGCCCCCUGGGCCAAUACUGACGAUCAUGCACGAAAGCGUGGGGAGCAAACAGGAUUAGAUACCCUGGUAGUCCACGCCCUAAACGAUGUCAACUAGUUGUUGGGGAUUCAUUUCCUUAGUAACGUAGCUAACGCGUGAAGUUGACCGCCUGGGGAGUACGGUCGCAAGAUUAAAACUCAAAUGAAUUGACGGGGUCAUAGCUG